CCUGAACCUGCAGCAGCUCCAGUUUAGUCUCAAGCAUCUUAUUCUGCUGCUCCAGGAAACGCACCUGUGGAGGGAGUGAAUAAUGUCUUCCUUGGAUAAAACAAAGAGAAGAAGCUGAACCAUUCCAGCAGAUAAGCAGCACAACAUCAACACCUGACUGGGCUCCAGUCAGGUUGAACUCUUGCUGGUAGUUGAAAGACUUGGCUGAUCCGGGGAUGAUGGCGUCCAGCAUGGUCUGUCCGUACACCACGAUCCUGUUUGCAAGAAAAUACAUCACUAUCUUUUAAAAACUACAAAGUACUUAAACAACACAAAAAUCUACUCGGAUGAUAAUGCUAAUAUCAAUCAGCUCAAGAUCCUAACAAUUUUUAACAUAAACAAAUACCAAACUUGUGUUUUUAUUUUUAAAAUUUUGUAUCAGCCUGCUUCACUUCCCUUGUAAAGCCACGACUAAUAAUACAAGACAUGCCAAAUGUUUACACCUCCCAAUAUUCUAUACUGGGCACUGUCAAUUCUCUAUUAGAUACAGGGGGGCUCAGCUGUGGAACAGUUAUAUUCAAAUUGCAUUUCAGUCUACUUCUCUCAAGAAUUUCAAAACAAGCUCAGGACCUGUCUGAUGAACCAAACUUAACCAUUCGAACUGAUCAUAUCUGAUUAUAAUUGGCCUUUUUCUCACACAUUACACCAAAACACACACACACACCCUCAUUACAUUAUUUUAUCUGUUUUGUGUCUUUGCUUGGUUUUUU